UCCUCAAUUUGAUUAUUUGAGGUAUUGCCUGCUCAAUGCGAAAGUAAAUAGCCGCAGUAUUUUGACUGUGCAAAGGUAGCAUAAUAAAUUGGCCUUUAAUUGGGGUCUAGGAUGAAUGGCUUGACAAGGAUUUAACUGUCUUAGGGAGAAAUGUUUUGAAAUUUAAUUGUUUGUAAAAAUGCAGACAUGUGAGAGAGGGACGAGAAGACCCUAUAGAUCUUAAAAAAGUUUUUAAUUAAAUUUUGAUUGGAAAUUUUUUUUAUUUGGGGAAAAUCCUGAAAUGUAUUAAAACUUCGGUUAAUAAAAAAAUUUAAUAAUUAAUUUUUGAUCCAUUUGUAGAGUGAAAAAAUGAAAAAGUUACCUUAGGGAUAACAGGACAAUGAUUGUCUUAGAGGCCUUAUUUAAGACAACGUUUGUUACCUCGAUGUUGAAUUAAGUUAUCUAAUUAAAGGAGAAAUUUUUAUAGUUGGUCUGUUCGACCAUUAAAAAC
rnacentral:rRNA from 1 species